rnacentral:rRNA from 1 species
CAGUCGCCACGGGAAUACGAAGGGUGCAAGCGUUACUCGGAAUUACUGGGCGUAAAGCGUGCGUAGGUGGUGGUUUAAGUCCGUUGUGAAAGCCCUGGGCUCAACCUGGGAAUUGCAGUGGAUACUGGGUCACUAGAGUGUGGUAGAGGAUAGUGGAAUUUCCGGUGUAGCAGUGAAAUGCGUAGAGAUCGGAAGGAACAUCUGUGGCGAAGGCGACUAUCUGGGCCAACACUGACACUGAGGCACGAAAGCGUGGGGAGCAAACAGGAUUAGAGACCCCUGUAGUCCCUGUCUCUUAUAC